rnacentral:rRNA from 1 species
CCUACGGGUGGCAGCAGUGAGGAAUAUUGGUCAAUGGGCGGGAGCCUGAACCAGCCAAGCCGCGUGAGGGAAGAAGGUACAGCGUAUCGUAAACCUCUUUUGUCAGGGAACAAAGGCGGGGACUAGUCCCCGGAUGAGGGUACCUGAAGAAAAAGCAUCGGCUAACUCCGUGCCAGCAGCCGCGGUAAUACGGAGGAUGCGAGCGUUAUCCGGAUUUAUUGGGUUUAAAGGGUGCGCAGGCGGCCUGUUAAGUCAGCGGUAAAAGCCCGGGGCUCAACCCCGGCGAGCCGUUGAAACUGGCGUGCUUGAGUCCGCGGAAAGCAGGCGGAAUUCGUCGUGUAGCGGUGAAAUGCUUAGAUAUGACGAAGAACCCCGAUUGCGAAGGCAGCUUGCUGCAGCGGAACUGACGCUGAUGCUCGAAAGCGCGGGUAUCGAACAGGAUUAGAUACCCUGGUAGUC